GCGGCGGACGGGUUAGUAACGCGUGGGAAUAUACCCGACACUAAGGAAUAGCCUCUGGAAACGGAGAGUAAUACCUUAUACGCCCUUCGGGGGAAAGAUUUAUCGGUGACGGAUUAGCCCGCGUUAGAUUAGAUAGUUGGUGGGGUAAUGGCCUACCAAGUCUACGAUCUAUAGCUGGUUUUAGAGGAUGAUCAGCAACACUGGGACUGAGACACGGCCCAGACUCCUGCGGGAGGCAGCAGUGGGGAAUCUUGGACAAUGGGCGCAAGCCUGAUCCAGCCAUGCCGCGUGAGUGAUGAAGGCCUUAGGGUCGUAAAGCUCUUUCGCCAGAGAUGAUAAUGACAGUAUCUGGUAAAGAAACCCCGGCUAACUCCGUGCCAGCAGCCGCGGUAAUACGGAGGGGGUUAGCGUUGUUCGGAAUUACUGGGCGUAAAGCGCGCGUAGGCGGAUUAGUAAGUUAGAGGUGAAAUCCCGGGGCUCAACCCCGGAACUGCCUUUAAUACUGCUAGUCUUGAGUUCGAGAGAGGUGAGUGGAAUUCCGAGUGUAGAGG
rnacentral:rRNA from 1 species